rnacentral:lncRNA from 1 species
GGUGGCAGCAGUGGGCCAAGAGCAUGCCUGUUCUUGGGCCCCAGAGCAGUUUAUGCUGGUCCUGGGGUUAGUGAUUCUGGGCAGAUGUCAGUCUAGAUGUUGCUGAGAAAGUAUUUUUUAGAUGAGAUAAACAUUUGGAUCAGUAGAUUUUGAGUAAAGCAGAUUACCCUACAUUAUGUGGGUGAGCCUCAUCCAAUCAGCUGGAGCUUACACAUAAAUCUCCUAUUGCUUCUGUUUCUCUGGAGAGCCUUGACUAAUACAGUAGCAAAGAAGACACAAGGGGACUCUCUUUAAAAGGUCUUUCUUUAACAAUGAGGAAAAGCACAUAGCAUUCUCAUCAUUGCUCUGUUCCAAUGUGCUUACAAGACACACUCCACCUUCCAGCAACCACAUCUCCCAGCUGCAGGUGUUCCCUGUGUGGCAGGAUACUUCAUGCAUAAUCAUCUGGGUAUUUAUAAAAGCUUUUAGUUCCUGAAAGGUGAGCCUGGAGACAAGGCAUCUUUGGAUGUACAAGGGACAGGAGAGGGUCUCCCUGCCUGCCCAGAGGCUGGACUCUGGCAUCAAGAGUCUGGACCUGAGCAAGGAGCUCAGACCACAUAGGCCUGGGAAAGCAGAGGCCCUACAGUGAGUGGGAACCGGCAGAGAGGCUGCAGGCCUGUUGGGGGUCACCAGAAAGGAUGGGAUGGAAGGCAAGAGCCUGCUGAUUGAGUGGGAUUGGAAUCAACUUAAGGAGCAUAUGUAAAUAUAGCUAUAGAUACCCACACACAUUUAUACGUGCAUAUGACAUACUGGCAAGGAUGAUGGGGAACAGAGAAACAAGGUUAUGGAAGUAUGACUGGGCUGCUUUUAACUUAAUUUUCUUUUGAUUUGUCUAUAUUUAAAAAUUUAAAAAUUUUCCUAAAACACAUAUUAUUUUGCGAUAUAAUUCAUCUUUUUAAACUUCAGAAUGUUUCCUGAGCACACAUUACUUUUUCAGAAGCAGAACUUUGCAAGGAAUUCAGCCACUUUAACAGAUCCUAGGUAAAAUACUGCUUCGCAAAUACAUGUUUUAAAAUUUUGCUUCUCUGGCCAAGCGUUUUCUGUUUGGAUUGGAAGUCCUUGAAAAGUGCAGAAAUUGCAGUUUCUACCUGAUCUUUCCUAAAUAAAAAUUUAGUAAGUAGAAAUCCUUUUUAAGGCCCUUCCUUCUCCCCCAACGCACAUCCCCCAAAUACGCACAAACUAUCUCCCCGCCACACACACCCCAUCACCACUAUCACCACCACCAUCACACACAGACACACACACACACACACACACACACACACACACGCCACACA